CCCUUAGAUGUUCUGGGCAGCACGCGCGCUACAAUGGUCUUCGAAAACGGAUGCAUUCUCGAAGGAGAAUGCCAAUCUUGGAAUCUAUGCCUUGGUCGGGACAGUUGCUUGCAAUUUUUCGACUCGAACCAGGAAUUCCUUGUAAUCGUGAUUCAUCACAUCACGAUGAAUACGUCCCUGCCCUUUGUACACACCGCCCGUCGCUCCUACCGAUCGAAGAGUUAGGUGAAUUGUUUUGAUCGAUAAGAUUUGACUAUGGUCAACUCUCGUUGUGAAAUUCUGUGAAUCUGACUGUUUAGAGGAAGGAAAAGUCGUAACA
rnacentral:rRNA from 1 species